rnacentral:tRNA from 1 species
GCUUAAGUAGUUUAGGGAAAACAUAAGAUUUUCAUUCUUAAGUCAGAUAGUAUUUCUCUUAAGUU